rnacentral:lncRNA from 1 species
UUGCAGGUCAUUUUUCAAGCUCAAAUGCUUGCAACUCAUGGGCAGGAAGAAGUUUUGGCUAUCGAUGACAUAUCUUUCAGUUCAGGUUGCGUGCCCGCAGAUGUUUGUCAGACCUGUGGAUUUGACCUUGUCACCUGCGGCUGGGCAACUGAGGCAUCUGCUGGGCGAACUUCUUGGAUGUGCACAAAAGCAAGCGAGGUCCCUUCACUGGACUCUGUUCCGUGGCAGGAUCAAAGCGGCCAUGAAGAAGGUUCCUUUGUAUGGAUGAGGGCCAGUCAUGCAUCUAAUUCUGGACCCGUAGAGAAUAGUGCAUAUUUAAACAGCUCUGUAUGUCACUGCCUGGAUGGAAACUGCCAUCUUC